UCCAGACUCCUACGGGAGGCAGCAGUGAGGAAUAUUGGUCAAUGGGCGGAAGCCUGAACCAGCCAAGUCGCGUGAGGGAAUAAGGCCCUACGGGUCGUAAACCUCUUUUGUCGGGGAGCAACGAGGCCACGUGUGGCCGAAGUGAGAGUACCCGAAGAAAAAGCAUCGGCUAACUCCGUGCCAGCAGCCGCGGUAAUACGGAGGAUGCGAGCGUUAUCCGGAUUUAUUGGGUUUAAAGGGUGCGUAGGCGGAACAUUAAGUCAGCGGUAAAAUCGAGGGGCUCAACCCCUUUAAGCCGUUGAAACUGGUGAUCUUGAGUGGGCGAGAAGUAUGCGGAAUGCGUGGUGUAGCGGUGAAAUGCAUAGAUAUCACGCAGAACUCCGAUUGCGAAGGCAGCAUACCGGCGCCCGACUGACGCUGAGGCACGAAAGCGUGGGGAUCGAACAGGAUUAGAUACCCCAGUA
rnacentral:rRNA from 1 species